ACCUAAGAAAGAAAAAAGGGAAAAAUUUUUUAGGUUGCCUUAAUUUCAGACCCUGAGGCAUCAAAACUUAGAGCAUUUUUUAGACAAACUGAAGAUCUAGAAAGCAAACAAAUAAUAUACUUAUUUUCCUUUAAUUUACGUCAAACACCAGGUAGGUUACAUUUAUAUAUAAAUUAUCUAAACUCUAAAUAAAUACUUCAACACAAUGUGCUGACAUACACAACAAAAACCAGGGAGUGAUACAAAAAACCUAAUGUGCUUGAGAGUUGUUUCUAUAUAACAACUAUAUUACUUUGUAAUUACUGUGUAAUCACAGCCAAGACAGUGGAGACAUUCAGUAACACGGAGCGCUUUCCCUCUAGCAUCAGAGGGAUUCAAAUGACCACUGUUACAAGGAAGAAACGAAGACGUGACCACAUGACACAAUGCAAAUAAACUGGCACAGUGGCAAGGGCAAAGGUAAGAUUUCAGGACAAGCAAAUCCCUAAGCAGGCAGUAAUCUCUCUUGCAUGAACACAGAAGAGAUGAGCAUGACUACCUCUGGUGAAAACCUUAAAUAUCACAAGACUGUGGGUAGUGAUGUCUCAUGUGCUAAGGGAAAAUAAGAAGCAGUUGCACAUGGAAAUCCUCAGAAGUUUCUGGAUUACUAAUAAAAGUUAUCCCAAUUAGAAUAAAAGCCACAGGCUAGCUGAAGAAUUCACUUAUGUUCUGUAUAGAGCAAGGCUCCACCUUCAGCACAUCAGUGAAGCGGCUGUGACAAGAGCACCUGGAAUUUAUUCCCAGAUCAACAGCUCACCUGAGGAAAGCGAGUAAGCAUGUGGUGGGGAAUGCCCAUUAUGUUGUGUAAGUAGUCAAAUGUCUGUUUGAGUCUCUUUCUACUUGCAGUUAAAAUCUUGGGAGUUUUACACACUAUCUGUUGAAUUUCAUUACGUUGAAAACCAAGUUCAAUUUGACAAACCUGAAAAAGAGCACAAUUUUAUCUUUGCAAGUCAGCUUAUUUUACAAACAGCAAACUCAGCUUAUUUUAAUGUGCCACUGAAAAAAACUAAUGCAAAAUUCUUCUAUUCUUUCUUACACAGCAACAAGAAUGCAAACCACAAAAAUAUCUCCCACUUCAGUUCUUCUCAAGUCAGACAAUGCAAAUUAUUUAUUGUUCUAGAUUAAAGUGUAAUUUGUUUAUAGAAUAUCCCCAAAAUAAAGAUAACUUCUGUGAA